rnacentral:rRNA from 1 species
UUAAAAAGCUCGUAGUUGGAUUUCUGUCGAAAGCGGCCGGUCCGCACUAUGUGCGUGUAUCUGGUUCGGUUUUGGCAUCCUCGUGGGAGACGGAGCUGCGCUUGAUUGCGUGGGCCGGAAUUCACGACUUUUACUUUGAGGAAAUUAGAGUGUUCACGGCAGGCAAGCGCCUUGAAUACAUUAGCAUGGAAUAAUAAUAUAGGACCUUGGUUCUAUUUUGUUGGUUUU